UAUUUAUUUGAGACAGAGUCUCGCUCUGUCGCCCAGGCUGGAGUGCAGUGGCGCGAUUUCGGCUCACUGCAACCUCUGCCUCCCGGGUUCAAGCAGUUCUGCCCCGGCCUCCCGAGUAGCUCGGAUUACAGGCGCCCAACAGCACGCCCGGCUAAUUUUUGUAUUUUUAGUAGAGACGGGGUUUCACCAUGUUGGCCAGGCUGGUCUUGAACUCCUGACCUCGCGAUCCACCCGCCUCGGCCUCCCAAAGUGCUGGGAUUACAGACGUGAGCAACCGCGCCUAGCCUGGAGAAGCAGAUAUUUAUACAUACUCUUGUAUCUUUCAGGCUUCUGGGAACUUGGCAGAUGCAGCUUAGAGAGACUCACCAGCGAGCGUCAUUGUUGUCUUUCUGGGAACUCAUUCCCAUGAGAUCAGAACCUCUUCGAAAAAAGAAGAAGGUAGAUCCUAAAAAAGACCAAGAAGCAAAGGAGCGCUUGAAAAGGAAGAUCCGAAAACUGGAAAAGGCUACUCAAGAGCUAAUUCCUAUUGAAGAUUUUAUUACCCCUCUAAAGUUCUUGGAUAAAGCAAGAGAGCGGCCUCAGGUGGAGCUCACCUUUGAGGAGACUGAGAGGAGAGCUCUGCUUCUGAAGAAGUGGUCCUUGUACAAGCAGCAAGAGCAUAAGAUGGAGAGGGACACCAUCAGGGCUAUGCUAGAAGCCCAGCAGGAAGCUCUGGAGGAACUGCGACUGGAGUCCCCGAAGCUCCAUGCUGAGGCCAUCAAGCGGGAUCCUAACCUGUUCCCCUUUGAGAAGGAAGGGCCACAUUACACACCACCGAUCCCUAACUACCAACCCCCUGAAGGCAGGUACAAUGACAUCACCAAGGUGUACACACAAGUGGAGUUUAAGAGAUAGACUUGGCAGGCUGCUAUCCUUAACAUGCUGCCCCUGAGAGUAGGAAUGA
rnacentral:sRNA from 1 species